rnacentral:rRNA from 1 species
CAGCACUAAGUGGGUGGUAAACUCCAUCUAAAACUAAAUAUAACCAUGAGACCGAUAGCAAACAAGUACCGUGAGGGAAAGUUGAAAAGAACUCUGAAUAGAGAGUUAAAUAGUACGUGAAACUGCUUAGAGGUUAAGCCCGAUGAAUCUGAAUAUCCGUUGUAGAAAAUUCAUCAUCAAUUUGUAUAAUAUAUAUUUAUAUAUAUUAUUAAAAUGGUGUGCACUUUUUCUACUUAAGGACAUUGUAAUCUAUUAAUGUUUAAAUGCGUAUUAUAAGAACUUGUUACAAUAGUUUUUACAUUAUUUAAUUUAUUUUAAAUAUGUUUAAAUGUAAUAGAUUCGAAUAUGCCAUUGAUAGAUUUUUUACAUAUAUUGUACUUAAAUCAUUUAUUUGAUUUUAUAAUAAUAUGAUUAUCAUUGAUAUUUGUAUUUAUUAUAUGUGCAUAUAUGAUUGACAAUGCGAAAGAUUCAGUAUACCUUCGGGACCC